rnacentral:rRNA from 1 species
CCUACGGGAGGCAGCAGUGAGGAAUAUUGGUCAAUGGACGAGAGUCUGAACCAGCCAAGUAGCGUGAAGGAUGACUGCCCUAUGGGUUGUAAACUUCUUUUAUACGGGAAUAAACUGAUUCACGUGUGGGUUAUUGUAUGUACCAUAUGAAUAAGGAUCGGCUAAUUCCGUGCCAGCAGCCGCGGUAAUACGGAGGAUCCGAGCGUUAUCCGGAUUUAUUGGGUUUAAAGGGAGCGUAGGUGGAUUGUUAAGUCUGUUGUGAAAUUUUGCGGCUCAACCGUAAAAUUGCAGUGGAAACUGGCAGGCUUGAGUACAGUAGAGGUGGGCGGAAUUCGUGGUGUAGCGGUGAAAUGCUUAGAUAUCACGAAGAACUCCGAUUGCGAAGGCAGCUCACUGGACUGCAACUGACGCUGAGGCUCGAAAGUGUGGGUAUCAAACAGGAUUAGAUACCCCUGUAGUC